AGGGUUCGAUUCUGGCUCAGGAUGAACGCUGGCGGCGUGCCUAACACAUGCAAGUCGAGCGAUUCUCUUCGGAGAAGAGCGGCGGACGGGUGAGUAACGCGUGGGUAACCUGCCCUAUACACACGGAUAACGUACCGAAAGGUACGCUAAUACGAGAUAAUAUGCUUUAGUCGCAUGGCUGAAGUAUCAAAGCUCCGGCGGUAUAGGAUGGACCCGCGUCUGAUUAGCUAGUUGGUAAGGUAAUGGCUUACCAAGGCGACGAUCAGUAGCCGACCUGAGAGGGUGAUCGGCCACAUUGGAACUGAGACACGGUCCAAACUCCUACGGGAGGCAGCAGUGGGGAAUAUUGCACAAUGGGCGAAAGCCUGAUGCCAGCAACGCCGCGUGAGCGAUGAAGGCCUUCGGGUCGUAAAGCUCUGUCCUCAAGGAAGAUAAUGACGGUACUUGAGGAGGAAGCCCCGGCUAACUACGUGCCAGCCGCCGC
rnacentral:rRNA from 1 species